UGAACGCUGGCGGUAGGCCUAACACAUGCAAGUCGAACGGCAGCACAGUAAGAGCUUGCUCUUAUGGGUGGCGAGUGGCGGACGGGUGAGGAAUACAUCGGAAUCUACUCUGUCGUGGGGGAUAACGUAGGGAAACUUACACUAAUACCGCAUAAGUCCUACGGGAGAAAGCGGGGGACCGAAAGGCCUCGCGCUAUUGGAUGAGCCUAAGUCCGAUUAGCUAGUUGGCGGGGUAAAAGCCCACCAAGGCGAUGAUCGGUAGCUGGUCUGAGAGGAUGAUCAGCCACACUGGGACUGAGACACGGCCCAGACUCCUACGGGAGGCAGCAGUGGGGAAUAUUGGACAAUGGGCGCAAGCCUGAUCCAGCAAUGCCGCGUGUGUGAAGAAGGCCUGCGGGUUGUAAAGCACUUUCGGUUGGAAGAAAGACCAGAAUUAAUACUUCUGGGACUUGACACUACCAUCAUAAGAAGCACCGGCUAACUCCGUG
rnacentral:rRNA from 1 species